UAUAUGUUUUAUAGGCACAAAGGCCCAUUUGAUUACAUUCUAAUACAUACAUUGGGGUAUAUUAAGAAAACAUAGGCCUGGAAAUAUAAGGAAAGACAUAAAGUCAAUCCUCAAACCUGAUUGACUAGCAACCAGAGAGAUAUCCAGGUCUACAAGAGGUGCACAGGUGGAGAUAUAAAGAUGACAAGUGUGCACAUGCUCCCUGAGAGAGAAGCCAGCAACAACUCAUCAGGUUUAUUUUCAAUAAUGAUCCUUCCGCAGGUUCACCUACGGAAA
rnacentral:misc_RNA from 1 species